rnacentral:rRNA from 1 species
UACGUAGGGUGCGAGCGUUGUCCGGAAUUACUGGGCGUAAAGUGUGCGCAGGCGGCCGCGCAAGUCGAGUGUGAAAGCCCCGGGCUUAACUUGGGAAUUGCGCUCGAAACUACGUGGCUGGAGUGUGGCAGAGGAAGGUGGAAUUCCAGGUGUAGCGGUGAAAUGCGUAGAGAUCUGGAGGAACACCGAUGGCGAAGGCAGCCUUCUGGGCCAACACUGACGCUCAUGCACGAAAGCGUGGGGAGCAAACAGG